CUCGGCUUGCUUCCACUCGCUACGUAGCGACCUGUCAGACUGUCAGUCGCUACGUAGCGACCUGUAAGGCCUCAGAAAGGUCCUCCUUUGGGUUCUCUUUUGAAUCCUCGUCGAAACGCUUUUCGUUUCGUCUCAAUUGGAGUUUCCGUUUUGAUUUUACGACGAAAACAAGUAGGACUCUUCUCGGCUUGCUUCCACUCGCUACGUAGCGACCUGUCAGACUGUCAGUCGCUACGUAGCGACCUGUAAGUCCUCAAAGGGUUCCUCCUUUGCGUUCUUCUUUGAAUCCUCUUCGAAACGCUUUUCGUUUCGUCUCAAUCGGAGUUUCCGUUGAGAUUUUACGACGAAAACAAGUGGGACUCGUCUCGGCUCCCUUCCACUCGCUAUAGCGACCGAGAUGACAUCCUCACUCGCUAUAGCGUCCUGUCAGGCCUCAAAGGGGUCCUCCUUUGCGUUCUCCUUUGAAUUCUCAUUGAAACGCUUUUCGUUUCGUCUCAAUCGGAGUUUCCGUUGAGAUUUUACGACAAAAACAAGUAAACCUCAUCUUAAACUCCUUGGCUUGUUUCUGCUCACCCUACCUCCAUCUUUGCGUUCACUUUCGAAUAUCGAUCGAAACGUCUCUUGUUUCGCCUCGAUUGAAGUUACCAUUGAGACUUUACGAUAUGAAGAAAAAAAAAAAAAAAAAAAACAAACCGCAAAGACCUAUUUUCUCGCAUGGAUUCAGAUUAAUCGUAUAAAACGGCAAUGGUUAACUUAACACCUUAGCCGCCUUAACUAUACGAUUACGUUGAACUUUUUUUUACAAAAAUCGACGUCUUAUCUAAGGAGAAGAUAACAGUCAAGUUCGGAAGAUAAAUGUCAAGUUUCAAAGGAUAAACACCAAUAUCGGAAAUGGCGAACAUACACGAGAAUAGGAAACGGAAAUGAGCACGCAAAACUGAGAAGGGACAAAACUGCAUCUUCGAGAGAACUAAGGUAUUUCCGACUUGAAAUUUUUGAAAUCAGACUUGGAGUUUUCGUAGGAAAUUACUUUGAGGCUGCCAUAGAACUUUAGGGAACGUAAAACCUAGGCGGAUAGUCUAGCGAACUAAGUUUUAAGCGAUUUUUCCUGUCUCGAUAUAUUGUUCCAUAAUUGGUCAUCCAGAUCUUGCAAACCGAUCUAAACUCUCCGAAAGUCGAGAAACGAUCGCCACACAUAUCAAGCUCGCUUCCUAAAAGAGAAAAAGUUAGAGACAUGAACGU
rnacentral:lncRNA from 1 species